UACGUAGGGGGCAAGCGUUGUUCGGAAUGACUGGGCGUAAAGGGUGCGUAGGCGGUGUAGCAAGUUAGAAGUGAAAUACCUAGAGCUUAACUCAGGUGCUGCUUCUAAAACUGCUAUACUUGAGUGCAGUAGAGGAAAGUGGAAUUCCUAGUGUAGCGGUGGAAUGCGUAGAUAUUAGGAGGAACAUCAGUGGCGAAGGCGACUUUCUGGACUGUAACUGACGCUCAGUCCCGAAAGCGUGGGGAGCAAAUAGG
rnacentral:rRNA from 1 species